AGAAGACUGCACACAGAAACCACUGGAGACAAAUGAAGCACUGCAGAGAAAGUCCAUGGAAGAACUGCUCACUGGAAACACUGAAGACCAUUGAAGCACUGACAUCCUUCAGUGCUGGGACAGGCUAUUUAAACCCACAGGUUAGCAGGGAUUGGUGGGCAAUUAACCAGAGACCAGAGUGCAGCUGCUGUGUAAUCAGGCUGGGAGCAGAGUGCAGCUGAUUGGCUGAAAAGUAACAUGUGAUGAAAACAAACAUGGCUGCGCCCAUGUUUGAACUUGGAGGGAAAGACUGUUUGUAACUUGCAUGUGAGUUUAACCAUGAAGCUGCCAGAAUCACAGUAAAGAGAUUUGAGACAAUGAGAUGCAGCAUGCUGCACACAGACAGCGCAGAUGGAAUCCAGGCUUGGGACACUGGGACAGUCUCAGGAGGCAUUUGGAAGGGUUUUAGGUGCAACCUCCUUAGUUUGGUGAAGUUGGAUGAGCACGACAAUAAACUGGCAGUUGGGAUUUCUUCAGUCAAGAGACCCACAGCAGCAUCCUAAUGGCCAGACACACUCCGAUCUACAUAAAGACCUUUUGAACAACGGUUUUGUGGAGAUAAGCGGACACCCCUAUGCGGGGAGUGUAACCGAGCCAGCGACUGGACUAUAUUGACUUCUUUAAACUUUUGACUAUCCUUCUUAUUUGAACUUUAAAGGUUUAGCUCCAGUCACCACUAUAUAUACAGAAUACAGUAUAUGCCAAGAUUAAAUGUCCAGUUAUUAAUACCCCUUUCAGACUAGCAAAUAUUUCCCGGGUUAUUGCACGUGACCGCGUAUCAACUUGGGAUUUUGCUUAGUCUGAAAGGGUCCUGGGUCGCGCGUCCCGGCAUUUCAUCCCAGUUUGUGACCUGGGUUCAAACUGGAAUCGGCCCGGGAUGCAUGCAGUGUGAUCGGGUAAGCCUGGGCAAGGCGACCCUGCACCCAUUCCCUGCAUAUGAUGAUCAUAUCCAAGCACCGCCUCCUGUAGCAUCGGCGGUGAUGUCACCAACCCGGCAAUAUGCUGGGUCGGGCCACAAGUCUGAAAGGGGUCUCAAGCCAUGUCGCACCUGGGAAGCACCAGUGUACAAAUUCCCGGGUGUGACCCAGCUCUGUUAGUCUAAAAGGAGUAUUAGUUAGCAAUCAAUUGGCUGAAACUGUCAACAUAUUAAAAAUAGAGAAGAGUGGGACCGGUUCUCAUGAUCCGAGCCGGGUUCAGAGUCCAACUUGGGUUUUCCCACCUGAUUCAGAUCCCAAAACGUGGCAAAACGUCAUCCUGCCACUGUCAGAUUCUCGCAGGUUUUGGAUUCUAUAUAAGGUCCCCGGUGAUCUGCGGCAUUUCACUCUGGCUGUGGAGCAUGUAGUGAGAGGACGUGUCCAUGCUGUAUCUGUCCAGGGGUGCUGUGUUGCACAUCAAAGGGCUGGGGCUGUUUUGUCCAGGGGUGCUCUGUCCAUGCUGUGUACAUCCAGGUGUGCUGCAGUGUUGUCCAUCCGGGGGUGCUGCAGUGUUGUCCAUCCAGGAGUGCUGCAGUGUUGUCCAUCAAGGCACUGGGGCUGCAUUGUCUUCCAGGGGUGCUCUCUCCAUGCUUUGUCCAUCCAGGGGUGCUCUGUAAAACUAUGGAUGUGACCCCAGUGUAAAAAAAAUGUAAGCAAAAAAUAUAAUUAAAAAAAGAAUAUAUAUAUAUAUAUAUAUAUAUAUAUAUACAUAUAUUUAUUUAUUUUGUGACACUGUAGAUGGUUCGUCCCCAGGUGUGCUUUGUUGCACAUAAAGGAGUGCUGUGUCUGACAAGGAACUGUCCAUCCAGGGGUGCUCUGUAAAUGUAGGGGUGUGAACUCAGUGUAAAAAAAGAGUUAAAGGAAAAAAUAUAAUUGAAAAAAUAUAUAUACAUGCAUAUUUAUGUUUGUGCUAUACCCCAGUGUACUAUACUAUUAUUUUUAUUUGACACUGCUGGUCAGACCGCAGUGUAUCAUACAAGUAUUGUGACACUGUAAGUGGAAGUGAACUGUAGUGUAAUAUAUAUUCUGACUCAAACACGUAUUGUGUGACACUGUAGGUGAAAGUAAACUGCAGUGUUAUUAUAUUAUUAUUUCUGACUCAUACACAUAUUGAGUGACAGUGGAGGUGAAAGUAAAUUGCAGUGUUGUAUUAUUA